UACGUAGGGGGCGAGCGUUGUCCGGAUUUAUUGGGCGUAAAGAGCGUGUAGGCGGCCAGGUAGGUCUGCUGUGAAAACUCGAGGCUCAACCUCGAGACGUCGGCGGAAACCAUCUGGCUAGAGUCCGGAAGAGGAGAGUGGAAUUCCUGGCGUAGCGGUGAAAUGCGCAGAUAUCGGGAAGAACACCCGUGGCUAAGGCGGCUCUCUAGUACGGUACUGACGCUGAGACGCGAAAGCGUGGGGAGCGAACAGG
rnacentral:rRNA from 1 species